rnacentral:rRNA from 1 species
GCGUGGAGGGCCGAACCGUAGCGAGUUGCAACACGCCCGGAUGACCUGUGGUUAGAGGUGAAAUGCCAAUCGAACCUGGAGAUAGCUGGUUCUCCUCGAAAUAGCUUUAGGGCUAGCGUCGUACGGUAACAUAUGGGGGUAGAGCUCUGUUUCGGAAUGGGGGUCGUAAGAUUACCCACCCUUGACAAACUACGAAUACCAUAUGCGGAACUACGGCAGUUAGAACGGCGGGGCUAAGCUCGUCGCUCAAAAGGGAAACAGCCCAGACCAUCAUCUAAGGUCCCUAAGUCUAUGCUAAGUGGGAAACGAGGUGAGAUUUCUUAAACAACGAGGAUGUUGGCUUAGAAGCAGCCAUUCAUUUAAAGAGUGCGUAACAGCUCACUCGUCAAGAGAUCUUGCGCGGAAAAUGUAACGGGGCUCAAGUGUAGUACCGAAGCUGAGGAUGCGUAUUUAUACGCGUGGUAGAGGAGCGUUGAUAGGGCUUUGAAGUCGGACUGCGAGGUCCGGUGGAGCGCUAUCAAGUGAGAAUGCUGGAAUGAGUAACCAUAAGGCAGGUGAGAAUCCUGCCCACCGAAAGAGCAAGGUUUCCUGGGCCACGGUAAUCGUCCCAGGGUUAGUCGGUCCUAAGCCGAGGCGCAUAGCGUAGGCGAUGGACAACGGGUUAAUAUUCCCGUACUAGUGUGAAAUUGUAUGGCGUGCGCGGCAUAUUCGCCGGAGCGGAUUCAUGGUUAUAUCCGUCUAAGCUUGAGAAAUACGAGCGAAUGAAAGGGCUUUAUUGUCCGAUUCCGGUCAAGGUGCUGACUAGAAAAGCUACUAUACUUAUGUUUCACAUUAUCCGUACCGCAAACCGACACAGGUGCUCAGGUCGAGUAGACCAAGGUGUACGAGUGAUUCUUCGUCAAGGAACUCGGCAAACAAGCGGCCGUAACUUCGGAAUAAGGCCUACCUCCCUUGUGGAGGUCACAGCUAAAGAACCCAUGCAACUGUUUACCAAAAACAUAGGUCUCUGCUAACACGAAAGUGGAUGUAUAGGGGCUGACGCCUGCCCGGUGCCGGAAGGUUAAGGAGAGAGCUUUACGGCUUGAACUGAAGCCCCGGUGAACGGCGGCGGUAACUAUAACCGUCCUAAGGUAGCGAAAUUCCUUGUCAGGUAAGUUCUGACCCGCACGAAUGGCGUAAUGAUAUGGGUACUGUCUCGACGAAGAGCUCGGUGAAAGUGCAUUGACGGUAAAGAUGCCGUCUGUCCGCAGCAGGACGAAAAGACCCCGUGGAGCUUUACUACAACUUGACAUUGAGUUGGGUUAUAACAUGUGUAGCAUAGGUGGGAGACUAUGAAGCUGAGGCGCUAGCCUUGGUGAAGUCUCCAGUGAAAUACCACCCUCGUUAUGAUCUUACUCUUACUCGGACCGUUAUCCGGUUUGAAGACAGUGUCUGGUGGGUAGUUUAACUGGGGCGGUUGCCUCCUAAAGAGUAUCGGAGGCGUUCAAAGGUUGGCUAGGUUCGGAUGGAAAUCGAAUCGAUAGUGUAUACGCAUAAGCCAGCUUGACUGUGAGGCCUACAAGCCGAGCAGGUACGAAAGUAGGAGUAAGUUUUCCGCUGUCCGUACAUAUUUGUACAAGAGUGUGGUAUCGGCAGCGCUUUCGGAUAAAAGUUACCCCGGGGAUAACAGGCUUAUAGCGCCCAAUAGUUCACAUAGACGGCGCUGUUUGGCACCUCGAUGUCGGCUCAUCUUAUCCUGGAGGGGGAGCACCUUCCAAGGGUCCGGCUGUUCGCCGGUUAAAAAGGUACGCGAGCUGGGUUCAGAACGUAAAUAACAUUGCGUUCUACUACUGAGAAGUAGUAAAAAUACAGAUGUACAUCGCAUUAAUUGUAUUUAAGCAUCUGACUAAUAUCGGUGAAACCCGAACUGAACUUCGAACGAUUCAGAGGGUAAUACCGAGGGAAGUCUGCGCUAGCACGUUGCUAGUCAUGACCCCGUAGAGACUGAUCCGCAAGGAGAGAUAGUGGUUACUACUCUAAGGAGUAAAUUUAUAGCCGCUAUAAUACGUCAGCCCCUAACUACAUCGUAGAAGGGUGAAGAUAUAGUCCGUGCCAUUAGU